rnacentral:rRNA from 1 species
GACGAACGCUGGCGGCGUGCUUAACACAUGCAAGUCGAACGGCAAGGCCCUGCUUUUGUUGGGUGCUCGAGUCGCGAACGGGUGAGUAACACGUGAGUAACCUGCCCUUUACUUUGGGAUAACUUCAGGACACUGGUGCUACUACCGGCUAGGUGCUCCUGCUGCAUGGUGGGGGUUGGAAAGUUUCGGCGGUUGGGGAUGGAUUCGCGGCUUAUCAGCUUGUUGGUGGGGUAGUGGCUUACCAAGGCUUUGACGGGUAGCCGGCAUGAGAGGGUGACCGGCGACAAUGGGACUGAGGGAGGGCCCAGACGGGUACGGGGGACAGCGGGGGGGAAUAUUACACAAUGGGGGGAAGCCUGAUGCAGCAACGCCGGGGGCGGGAUGAGGGCCUGCGGGGGGUAAAACGCUUUGGCCUGUGACGAAGCGGGAGUGACGGUAAUGGGUAAAGAAGCACCGGCUAACUACGUG